CAGAAAAGGUGGGGCAAGCUAUGUGACAUACCCAGGAAAUGGAAACUAAGUGUGGAGCUCACUUGUCUCUCUCCAUCCUGUGCCUGCACAGGGUAAGAGAAUAUCCAUGGAGAAACACUCAUGUUAUGUGGUGGAGAGUUCCGGAGACUGAUAAUACCAAUGCUGUCAUUAAAUUUAGCCAAGUCCUUGAUGUGAGAAAUUUCAGUUCAUUGUUGAUGACACAGAUUGCAGAAACAUAUGGAAGCAAUUAGAGGAAAGUAAAUGGAGACAGUGGGUGCAGGCUGCAUAUUUGUAGAGCUUGACUAGAUAAAAGGAAUAAUGUAGGAUGAGAUCUAAAAGCGGCGACCGGGACUCCGGUAUCUUCUUUCAUUCUUAA
rnacentral:lncRNA from 1 species